GAGACAGAAUGUUAGAGAGAGAAAGAGAGAGAGACAGAAUGUUAGAGAGAGAGAGACACAGAAUGUUAGAGAGAGGCAGAGUGCUAGAGAGAGACAGAGUGUUAGAGAGAGAAACAGAAUGUGAGACGGAAUGUUAGAGAGAGACAGUGUUAGAGAGAGACAGAGUAUAAAAUAGGGAGAUAGAUUAUAAGUCAGUCAGAAU